UAUCUCUGUAGAGUCUGCAUAUCAAUAAGCGGAGGAAAAGAAACUAACUAGGAUUCCCUUAGUAACGGCGAGUGAAGCGGGAAGAGCUCAGAUUUGAAAUCUUCAAGGUUUUACCUUGACGAAUUGUAGUUUAAAGAAGUGUUUUCUGUUGGUGUUUUGGUAAAAGUUCUUUGGAAUAGGACAUCAUAGAGGGUGAGAAUCCCGUAUUUGACCAUUACUUCCAGCGUUGUGAUACACUUUCAAAGAGUCGGAUUGUUUGGGAAUGCAGUCCAAAAUGGGUGGUAAAUUUCAUCUAAAGCUAAAUAUUGGCGAGAGACCGAUAGCGAACAAGUACCGUGAGGGAAAGAUGAAAAGAACUUUGAAAAGAGAGUUAAACAGUACGUGAAAUUGUCAAAAGGGAAGCGUUUGACACCAGCGUUGUUUUCUCGAAAAUCAAUUAAAAAAAGUUGGAUUUUGUAUUGUUAAGACCUUAUCAGCUUACUGUACUCUUUUCUUGCUUUUUUUAAUGCACUUUUCGUUUAACAAGUCAACAUCAAUUUCUUUUGUUGUAAAAGAGUCAUUGGAAGGUGGCUUUCACUUCGGUGAAAGUGUUUAUAGCCUUUGGCUUCUGCAAUCGGAGAGAUUGAGGUCUGCAGCGUAGAUCCUUCGGGGCUAGAUACGUAGAUGCUAAGUUAUAGCUUUUUAUAGACAACUUGUUGACUAUGAUUAAGUCAUGUAGCUUACUCGUUAUGCCUAUUUUACCUACGCUUAGGAUGUUGACGAUCAGCUGAGCGCG
rnacentral:rRNA from 1 species